GCGAAUUCGCCCUUUUCCGGUUGAUCCUGCCGGACCUUACUGCUAUCGGGGUGGGACUAAGACAUGCGAGUCGAGCGUCUCUAGCUAUGUUGAGACGCGGCAUACGGCUCAGUAACACGUGGCUAACCUACCCUCAGGACAAGGACAACCCCGGGAAACUGGGGCUAAUACUUGAUAGGUGAGGAUGCCUGGAAUGGUUUCUCACUCAAAGGACUUUGGAAACAUGCUUCCAAAGUCGCCUGGGGAUGGGGCCGCGUCCGAUCAGGUUGUUGGUGAGGUAACGGCUCACCAAGCCUUUAACCGGUACGGGCCGUGGGAGCGGUAGCCCGGAGAUGGGUACUGAGACAAGGGCCCAGGCCCUACGGGGCGCACCAGUCGCGAAAACUUUGCAAUACACGAAAGUGCGACAGGGCUAUCCCGAGUGCCAUCCGCUGAGGAAGGCUUUUACCCAGUCUAGAAAGCUGGGAGAAUAAGGAGAGGGCAAGUCUGGUGUCAGCCGCCGCGGUAAUACCAGCUCUCCGAGUGGUGUGGAUGUUUAUUGGGCCUAAAGCAUCCGUAGCUGGCCAAGUUAGUCCCCUGUUAAAUCCACCGAAUUAAUCGUUGGUGUGCGGGGGAUACUGCUCGGCUAGGGGACGAGAGAGGCCGACGGUAUUUUCGGGGUAGGGGUGAAAUCCUAUAAUCCCGAGAGGACCACCAGUGGCGAAGGCUGUCGGCUAGAACGCGCCCGACGGUGAGGGAUGAAAGCUGGGGGAGCGAACCGGAUUAGAUACCCGGGUAGUCCCAGCUGUAAACGAUGCAGGCUAGGUGUUUGGGCGGCCACGGGCCGCUCUAGUGCCGCAGGGAAGCUGUUAAGCCUGCCGCCUGGGGAGUACGGUCGCAAGGCUGAAACUUAAAGGAAUUGGCGGGAAGGGCGAAUUCGU
rnacentral:rRNA from 1 species